UGGAGACAAUGCACAAAGUGUAACCAAGUGCUGGAUGCUUUCAAGGCAGAGCCUCUUCUCCCCAAUGGGCUGCCAUGAUGUACUCUGUCCUGCCAGCAGUCAUGCUGGUACAUUUGUCUCCCUUCCUUAGUUAGAGCCACAUCAGCUUUGCUCUUUACAAUGGCCCCGCCAAAGGUCGCCCAUCUGUGCCCUUUGUGGAGGGAGCUGGCAGACUCAUUUCCCAGGUGAUGGUACACGGCCCGCUGAGCCCUGUGAAAGGGAGCAUCUCCUAGGAAGGAGCCAUCGAUCUGUUGCCUGGAGCAUUGUGGUAAGGGAGACCAUUCAGUCAAAUCACUGGCAGCCAGAAGUGCCCAGGCUAGUCUCUCCAGACAAAAAAGAGUGCAACCCACAUCAAGCUGGUGAGGGCCCAGGUCAGGGCAGCAACUGAAGAAGCAUCAGUCUCUUCAAUUGGUCCCAAAUGCUUCGGCCUGGGUAUGAUACUUUUACAAGAAAGCGCUCACCCUCAAGAAACAAGAAGUGGAUCCACAGGCACUGCUCCCUGGGAAGUGCCAAGAAAAUUAAGAAACUAUGAUUGGUUCCUGAGAUGUGAUAGACCAGAUCACAGUGAAAGGAAGUAGAAACCAGAGAGAGAGAAAGUGACAUGGGAAAGGGGCUUAUAAAAGCUGCUUCUGUUGGCAGAGAACAACGGGCCCCUUUCAACUCUCACCUGCUGGAGUUCUUCGGACUCUGCUGGACACCUCCCCCAAAGCACACAGCUCAUUUUGGGUGGCUUCCAGGUCGGACAGCCCCGAACAA
rnacentral:lncRNA from 1 species